UACGGAGGGGGCUAGCGUUGUCCGGAAUCAUUGGGCGUAAAGAGCGUGUAGGCGGCCCGGCAAGUCCGCUGUGAAAGUCAAGGGCUCAACCCUCGAAUGCCGGUGGAUACUGUCGGGCUAGAGUGCGGAAGAGGCGAGUGGAAUUCCUGGUGUAGCGGUGAAAUGCGCAGAUAUCAGGAGGAACACCUAUUGCGAAGGCAGCUCGCUGGGACGUAACUGACGCUGAGACGCGAAAGCGUGGGGAGCAAACAGG
rnacentral:rRNA from 1 species